GACGAACGCUGGCGGCGUGCUUAACACAUGCAAGUCGAACGGAAAGGCCCUGCUUGCAGGGUACUCGAGUGGCGAACGGGUGAGUAACACGUGGGUGAUCUGCCCUCCACUUCGGGAUAAGCCUGGGCAACUGGGUCUAAUACCGGAUAGGAGCCAUUUUUAGCGUGAUGGUUGGAAAGUUUUUUCGGUGUAGGAUGAGCUCGCGGCCUAUCAGCUUGUUGGUGGGGUAAUGGCCUACCAAGGCGGCGACGGGUAGCCGGACUGAGAGGGUGGACGGCCACAUUGGGACUGAGAGACGGCCCAGACUGCGACGGGAGGCAGCAGUGGGGAAUAUUGCACAAUGGGCGCAAGCCUGAUGAAGCGAGGCCGCGUGGGGGAUGACGGCCUUCGGGGUGUAAACUCCUUUCGCUAGGGACGAAGCUUUUUGUGACGGUACCUAGAUAAGAAGCACCGGCUAACUACGUG
rnacentral:rRNA from 1 species